UGGGGAAUAUUGGACAAUGGGCGAAAGCCUGAUCCAGCAAUGCCGCGUGAGUGAUGAAGGCCUUAGGGUUGUAAAGCUCUUUUACCAGGGAUGAUAAUGACAGUACCUGGAGAAUAAGCUCCGGCUAACUCCGUGCCAGCAGCCGCGGUAAUACGAAGGGAGCUAGCGUUGUUCGGAAUCACUGGGCGUAAAGCGCACGUAGGUGGGCAGUUAAGUCAGGGGUGAAAGCCCGAGGCUCAACCUCGGAAUUGCCUCUGAUACUGGCUGUCUAGAGUUCGAGAGAGGUGAGUGGAAUUCCUAGUGUAGAGGUGAAAUUCGUAGAUAUUGGGAAGAACACCGGUGGCGAAGGCGGCUCACUGGCCCGUUUCUGACGCUGUAGCGCGAAAGCGUGGGGAUCAAACAGGAUUAGAUACCCCCGUAGUCCCUGAGCGGGCUGGCAAGGCGCAU
rnacentral:rRNA from 1 species